rnacentral:tRNA from 1 species
GCCGCGGUAGGAGAGGGUCCGCUUGGGAUCGAAGCCCAGAAAAGAGUAGCGUCCGAAGCGCUCGGCGGCC